CCCUGCGAGGAAGGAGGGGAUAUCGUCGUCGCAGGUCCUGGGCGGCGGAGGAGCACGUCUUGUGCGGUGACGGAGCAAGUAGGGCGGCGCAGGUCCUUGGCGGCGGAGGAGCAAGCAGGGCGGCGCGGGUCCUGGGCCGCGGAGGAGCACGUCCUGUGCGGCAACGGAGCAAGCAGGGCGGCGCGGGUCCUGGGCGGCGGAGGAGCACGUCUUGUGCGGUGACGGAGCAAGUAGGGCGGCGCAGGUCCUUGGCGGCGGAGGAGCAAGCAGGGCGGCGCGGGUCCUGGGCCGCGGAGGAGCACGUCCUGUGCGGCAACGGAGCAAGCAGGGCGGCGCGGGUCCUGGGUCGCGGAGGAGCACGUCCGGAGAUCUUGGGCUGACGACUGGCCCUGGCGACGCGCGCCGGCGACGGGCGGAGGAAGAAGGAAGAAGACGCGACCUGUAUGGUGACCUGUUUGUAACAAAUUUGAAGUUAUAAGGGUGUUUUUGAAAAAUUGACAUUACACUACGCUGUGGACAACUUUUCCCGGACGGAGGGAGUAUAUAGGAAGGCAUUUUUGAGUAUGCAAGUUUGCUUUCA